GUCGAAGAUCAGUGUUCUAAAAUACUGUAAUUUGACUAAAUAAUCACAUUUGUUGAAGAAGAAAAGAGGUCCAUGUGAACUCAACUAAUGGCGACAGGUGUUCGCAGAUCUUUCUCUUUGGUAUUUCUAUUCUUGUUUCAGUUACUCGUUGAAAUAGGCUGUCUUGCAGAUCCUAAACUUGCUCGUGUUAGAGUCAAUGGCAAACUAAAGGUUAUUCGCCUCCCCGACAAGGUCAAGCAUUGGUCAACGUCUUGGUCAUCCAACUCACCGAGUAGUAGCAGCUGGUCG